CCUACGGGUGGCAGCAGUGGGGAAUAUUGGACAAUGGGGGCAACCCUGAUCCAGCCAUGCCGCGUGUGUGAAGAAGGCCCUCGGGUUGUAAAGCACUUUCAGUGAGGAAGAACGCCUGGUGGUUAAUACCCAUCAGGAAAGACAUCACUCACAGAAGAAGCACCGGCUAACUCCAUGCCAGCAGCCGCGGUAAUACGGAGGGUGCGAGCGUUAAUCGGAAUUACUGGGCGUAAAGCGCGCGUAGGUGGCUUGAUAAGCCGGUUGUGAAAGCCCCGGGCUCAACCUGGGAACGGCAUCCGGAACUGUCAAGCUAGAGUGCAGGAGAGGAAGGUAGAAUUCCCGGUGUAGCGGUGAAAUGCGUAGAGAUCGGGAGGAAUACCAGUGGCGAAGGCGGCCUUCUGGACUGACACUGACACUGAGGUGCGAAAGCGUGGGUAGCAAACAGGAUUAGAUACCCUAGUAGUC
rnacentral:rRNA from 1 species